rnacentral:rRNA from 1 species
GAUGAACGCUAGCGGGAGGCUUAACACAUGCAAGUCGAGGGGCAGCAUAAGGUAGCAAUACUUUGAUGGCGACCGGCGCACGGGUGAGUAACGCGUAUGUAACCUGUCCUUAACAGGAGGAUAACCCGGAGAAAUUCGGACUAAUACUGCAUAAAAUUAUAAAUAGGCAUCUAUUAAUAAUUAAAGCUACGGCGGUUAGGGAGGGGCAUGCGUAACAUUAGCUGGUUGGUAGGGUAACGGCCUACCAAGGCAAUGAUGUUUAGGGGACCUGAGAGGGUGACCCCCCACACUGGUACUGAGACACGGACCAGACUCCUACGGGAGGCAGCAGUGAGGAAUAUUGGUCAAUGGGCGGCAGCCUGAACCAGCCAUCCCGCGUGAAGGAAGAAUGCGCUAUGCGUUGUAAACUUCUUUUUCAGGGGGAUAAAAUUCUGUAUGUAUACAGGACUGAAGGUACCCUGAGAAUAAGCAUCGGCUAACUCCGUGCCAGCAGCCGCGGUAAAACGUG